rnacentral:precursor_RNA from 1 species
GUUCUAAAAUUAUAGUUGUUUUUUUCGUAAACAGACAGGCCUAUGCAAAACAACUAUUAUUUAAGAACGU